rnacentral:rRNA from 1 species
UACGAAGGGGGCUAGCGUUGCUCGGAAUCACUGGGCGUAAAGGGUGCGUAGGCGGGUCUUUGAGUCAGGGGUGAAAUCCUGGAGCUCAACUCCAGAACUGCCUUUGAUACUGAAGAUCUUGAGUUCGGGAGAGGUGAGUGGAACUGCGAGUGUAGAGGUGAAAUUCGUAGAUAUUCGCAAGAACACCAGUGGCGAAGGCGGCUCACUGGCCCGAUACUGACGCUGAGGCACGAAAGCGUGGGGAGCAAACAGG